rnacentral:rRNA from 1 species
CACAUUGAACCUUCGGGGGAUUUGUUGGGAGGCGAGCGGCGGACGGGUGAGUAAUGCCUAGGAAAUUGCCCUGAUGUGGGGGAUAACCAUUGGAAACGAUGGCUAAUACCGCAUGAUGCCUACGGGCCAAAGAGGGGGACCUUCGGGCCUCUCGCGUCAGGAUAUGCCUAGGUGGGAUUAGCUAGUUGGUGAGGUAAGGGCUCACCAAGGCGACGAUCCCUAGCUGGUCUGAGAGGAUGAUCAGCCACACUGGAACUGAGACACGGUCCAGACUCCUACGGGAGGCAGCAGUGGGGAAUAUUGCACAAUGGGCGCAGGCCUGAUGCAGCCAUGCCGCGUGUAUGAAGAAGGCCUUCGGGUUGUAAAGUACUUUCAGUAGGGAGGAAGGUUCAUACGUUAAUAGCGUAUGGAUUUGACGUUACCUACAGAAGAAGCACCGGCUAACUCCGUGCCAGCAGCCGCGGUAAUACGGAGGGUGCGAGCGUUAAUCGGAAUUACUGGGCGUAAAGCGCAUGCAGGUGGUUAGUUAAGUCAGAUGUGAAAGCCCGGGGCUCAACCUCGGAAUUGCAUUUGAAACUGGCUGACUAGAGUACUGUAGAGGGGGGUAGAAUUUCAGGUGUAGCGGUGAAAUGCGUAGAGAUCUGAAGGG